UGAAUUAUUUUAAAUAGCUGCAGUAUCUAUAACUGUACAAAGGUAGCAUAAUAAUUAGUUCUUUAAUUAAGAUCUAGAAUGAAAGAUUUAAUGAAAUAUAAACUGUUUCUAAUAAAAUAUUAUUAAAUUUUAUAUUUAAAUAAAAAAUCUUAAAUAUAAUUAAAAGACGAAAAGACCCUAUAGAAUUUUAUAUUAUUAUUAUUUUUUUAAUAAAUUUAAUAUUUAAUUGGGGAAAUUUAAAAAUUUAAUUAACUUUUUUAAUUUUUAACAUUUAUUUAUGAUUAAUUCAACUAAAUUAUAUUUAAAUUUAAAAUAAAUUACCUUAGGGAUAACAGCAUUAUUUUUUUUUUUAGUUCUUAUAAAAAAAAA
rnacentral:rRNA from 1 species